GGGGAAUUUUCCGCAAUGGGCGAAAGCCUGACGGAGCAAUACCGCGUGAGGGAGGAAGGUUUUUGGAUUGUAAACCUCAAAACUUAGGGAAGAAAAAAAUGACGGUACCUAAUAUAAGCAUCGGCUAACUCCGUGCCAGCAGCCGCGGUAAUACGGAGGAUGCAAGCGUUAUCCGGAAUCAUUGGGCGUAAAGCGUCCGCAGGUGGCCUAUCAAGUCUGUUGUUAAAGCCCAGGGCUCAACUCUGGAUCAGCAAUGGAAACUGAAAGGCUAGAGUACGGUAGGGGUAGAGGGAAUUCCCAGUGUAGCGGUGAAAUGCGUAGAUAUUGGGAAGAACACCAGUGGCGAAGGCGCUCUGCUGGGCCGUAACUGACACUCAUGGACGAAAGCUAGGGGAGCGAAAGGGAUUAGAUACCCCUGUAGUCA
rnacentral:rRNA from 1 species